CAGCCGCCGCGGGUAAUACAGAGGGUGCGAGCGUUAAUCGGAUUUACUGGGCGUAAAGCGUGCGUAGGCGGCUAAUUGAGUCGGAUGUGAAAUCCCCGAGCUUAACUUGGGAAUUGCAUUCGAUACUGGUUAGCUAGAGUGUGGGAGAGGAUGGUAGAAUUCCAGGUGUAGCGGUGAAAUGCGUAGAGAUCUGGAGGAAUACCGAUGGCGAAGGCAGCCAUCUGGCCUAACACUGACGCUGAGGUACGAAAGCAUGGGGAGCAAACAGGAUUAGAUACCCGCGUAGUCCCUGUCUCUUAUA
rnacentral:rRNA from 1 species